rnacentral:misc_RNA from 1 species
UCCUCUCUCAAACCCCCGGGUUUGGUGUUGGACCGCGUUGGCCGCAAGGCCCAACUGGUCUCAAAGACAAUGACGGCGUCCCAGGGACCCUCUUCGCACUGAGCUUUCCGGAGCACGCGUAGAGUUUCAAGGGCCCAGGGACCCGGUCGCCUCUAAAAACUUUUUUCA